rnacentral:lncRNA from 1 species
GUGAAGGCAGGCAAGGGGGCUGGAGGAAAAGGAAGGGUGGGUUCAGGAAGCACUGAGAAGGCGAGCUGACCUGGAUGACAGAUGGAUGGGGCAGUGGAGAGGGGGGCUUUUCUGGAGGCAGAACUCAGAAGGAGUUUGGGGUGCAAGAUGCUUGUUAGGGGCCAACCUCUGUGGAAAGCUGAGGGAGGCUGCAGGAUGGCCAGAGGGGAGAAGUGGGACUGUGUGAAGCCUCACACACCCCAGCCUGGGGGGAGCCCCCCUUCAGUGUCCCCCUUGUUCCCUCGUCCCUCUCUCCUCACUCUCUCAGCUGCCCCAGAAGCAUGGCCUCCAGCCAAGCAGCCCCUGCAGCUCAGCCAAAGGAGUGGGCCAUGGAGAGGGCCUGCAGCCGCACUCCGCAGGGGCAGGAGGCCUCUGUGGAGGAGCUCAGGCAGGGCCCUCUGCAUCUCCCGCGUAGAGGGGUGCAGAGCAAAGGCCCUCUUCUGACUUGGACGGUGAGGCUGAGUGAGUCUCAUCCGUCAGGAUGAGGAGCAUAGGUGGCCGGAGGGGAGAGGAGGGUUCUGAAGGCAGGUGAGCGCUGGCACAUCCACGGAGAGCUGUCCAGUGCUGAGGGGCAGGCAGGGCUGGAGUUUGGAACCUGAAAGUCAUCGGGUGCCUGUGACGUUGAGCCAUUCAGUGGCUGGUGCACACUUAGGAAGGAAGAGCCAGCAACAGGGACGGAUCCCUAGGACACGCCAGACCUCCCAGACGGGAGCUAAGAAGAGCUGGUCAGGAGUGGGAGGACACAUACGGAAACCUGGUCUGGUGGAUGCCGUGUGUCUUAGUCAGCUCAGGCAGCUUUAACACGACACCACAAUGGGCAGCUUUAACAACAGACAACUAUUUCUCACAGUGCUGGAGACUGGAAGUCCUUGAUCAAGGCUCCAGAAGAUUUGAUGUCUGGUGAGAACUGACUUCCUAGUUCAUGGAUGUGGCCUCACAUGGUUGAAGGAGUGGGGAGCUCUCUGGGGUCCCUUUUAUAAGGGUCUUAAUCCCAUUUAUGAAUGCUCAUCUUCAUGACCUGCUCACCUCCUAAAGGACCCCCCUCCAAAUACCAACACAUUGGGGGUUAGGUUUCAGCAUAAGAAUUUUGGGGGACAAACGUUUGUUUCAAGAGAAAGUCAGUGACAGUUAACAAGGGCAGUGGUGGCAAUCAUAAUACUUUGAUUGACCAUCUUCAUGUGCCAAACAAUGCACACCCAUCAUUCCCGCAGAUCCCAUGACCUGGGAGAUGGAGUUUACAGCCCGUUCUGCCCAGAAAGAAACCAAGGAUCAGAGGGCUUACAAAAGGUGCCAGGGCCACACAGGGUUAGUAACUGGCUGGGCUGUCUGACUCCGAAUCCACGUUUAUGACCACGGCAUCACCCAGCUCAGAGAGCUUAAGUCAGGAACACACUGAGAAUCACCUUUGGAGGCGGUGAUUAUCCAUCACUACACCUUAGCAGCGAGAAUGGAGAGGGAACCACUUAGGUCACAGGAUGGCCUCAACCAAAUGAGAAAAUGGAUGAAAAAGUCAUGCUUUCCAGAAGUUGGAAUGAAAUGAAAGAGAAGAUGCAGGGUGAUGGCUGGAAGCACAGCACAGGAGAGAGCAGGUGAUGGAAGGCGAGGGUGUUUAGGGUAAGACGGAGAACAGAACGGGAGAAACAGAGAUCCAGGAAAGAGGGAGGGUCGAGUAUGGGUGGAGCUACUGCCCUGGAGCGAGGUGGAGACAGGGAGGAAUUGGGGAGCAGAUCAUUUGGGGUUGGACAGGAAACAGGCGGUUCCAGGAAAGAGACCUUAAUGAACAAACACGUUCAGAGAUGGGGUUAAGGGAUUCCAAAGGCUGGUGACACACAGGGAUUCCUAACAGCCAGAAGCCAUUCCCACACUUAGGGCUGAAGGCAGUUGAAUCUGGGGAGCCGGUGGAAUUCCAGCUGGAGUCUUGGAAUGGGGGCUGCCAGGGACAGCUGUAGUCUGGGAGGAACAAAGUUGCUGACAGAGAAGUAGAACCAGUGAUGAAGAGGGAAAGGGAAGAAAUACCCCAGCUUCUCUCUCCCCGCUCUCUGAUCUCCUACUUGUGCCUCCCAUGGGCCAAACCGAUGGGAAGCCAGAGGUCCAGGGAGCCUGGUGAUGAGGAGGGAGGGGGCAGCCUCCCAGGCACAGAGCCGGUUGGGCAAGGUUGUGCUUAAAAAGUGAGAGGGGUCCACUUAAGUAAGGAAUUUGAGUUGAGGGGGAAUGUUUAGAAUGCCUGCCAAGGGGAAAAGAGGAUGCUGCUGACGAGCAAGGAAGUGCAAAGGCAUUGGCAUUAUGAACCCACCACGACUCUGUGCGGCCCUGGAGAGCACAGGUGUGUUUCUCUAGGAGUGUUCAUCAGACUACUUAUGAGCUGGCGGAAAGUGAAUUAUUAGGUGGAGGGUUCAUGGGAGGCUGCAGGCAGGGGAGGGAAGAGGAGAAGGGGCCCAACAGGAGCAGGUGAUGGGCUGUGGGGAGAGGAACGGCAGAGAUGGAAGUGGCUGCUGAAGGAGGAUCAGAUGUGGGCGUGGAGGUCUUGAGGUCCUGGGGAGGUGGCAGCCUGAAUCGUUUGGGAUGCACAUUCAAGGGAAAUGGCAGGGAAGGCCCCUGAUGGUGUCCCCGAGGCAUAGGUGGGGAGGGGGGCCUCAGUUUCACUGAAGCCAGAGAUUGGGUCAUCCUAGCAGGAGGCUGGGGAUGGAAGGGAGCUCAUUAGCCACGACAACGUGGGAAGGAGUGAGCUAGCCGGGCAUAGAAAAAGAGAGAAUGAGAGCACAGGACAUUUAGAAGGGAAGAAACAGGAGCCACACCCUACAGCUGAUGUGGAGAGAGAGGAUGGUCACUCAAGGGCCUGGACUCUUGGCUGGCUGGGGGCCUGUACUUCUGCCUUCAUUCUCACUGACUGGCUCCAAACCAAAAGUGGUGAGAUUUCCGCCAACUCGAUGCGGGCGUCUGCCUGUGGGCUUGAACCUAUGAGACCUUCACCCCCGCCUUUGUGUCAGACGGAGACCCCGUACUGAGGCUCACACUCGUCCUGCUGGACUCACACACAGAGGCAUCAAUAUGCAGGCGGCUGGUACCCAGAAGGGCCUUUGCUGUCUCAGAGGCACUUAGCGAGGCUGAGACCACAAAACCUGUAUGUUUUCGAAUGCAGCUACCAGCAGCCAUGCUGUGCGCAGUGGUUCUCAGAUUCGAGGACCCCUGGCGGACUUGUCAUAACACAGAUCGCUGGCUCCACCUGGAGUUUCUGACUCAGUGGAUGUGGGCGGCUCCCGGGUGGCCACGAUGCUGCCCAGUUGUAGACACAGCCUGCUGACCACUCGGCAGCUGUGCCAGCUGAUGAUCCCACCCUGAAAACUAAACGCUGGACACGCUCCCACUGCAAGACACAACAGACUGAAAUGGUUCCAUCUGCUGCUACCUGGGGACAGCCAGAUGGUUGACCUCAAGAGGUGAGAGGGCUGGGAGACAAAAUCCUGGCAAAUUCCCAGCACAGUGUCUUCGUGGGGCUCAGGAGAAGCCUUGGAGAACUUCGCAGCAUGACAUCCCUUUUCAGUGGAGUUCCCGAUGCUGGCUGCAGACACUGGAAACCCCAAGAACCUCCUACUCAAGGAAGUCGGACGUUUAAACCAAGAACCCCAAAAUAAU